rnacentral:rRNA from 1 species
AUUGAACGCUGGCGGCAGGCCUAACACAUGCAAGUCGAGCGGAGCGGCGGACGGACGAGUAAUGACUAGGUAUCUGCCUGCUAGUGGGGGAUAAAGUACGGAUACGGGCGCUAAUACCGACUACUAUCAGAUGAGCCUACGUCGGAUAAGAUAGCUGGUGGGGUAAGGGCCUACCAAGGCGACGAUCCGUAACUGGUCUGAGAGGAUGAUCAGCCACACUGGAACUGUGACACGGUCCAGACUCCUACGGGAGGCAGCAGUGGGGAAGAUUGGACAAUGGGCGAAAGCCUGAUCCAGCCAUGCCGCGUGUGUGAAGAAGGUCUUCGGAUUGUAAAGAACUUUCAGCGGGGAGGCGUUACCCGCAGAAGAAGCACCGGCUAACUCCGUGCCAGCAGCCGCGGUAAUUC